GUUUUUAAAAUAUUCGAAUUGAGGUAAUAAAUACAGAAAUGGGAAAAUUAACACAUAAGAGGCUCGAGGUCGUCCCCGCCUAAUAAAGAAAAAUAAAACAAGAAUAAAACACUACAAGUUCUACUUUUAGCCUCCAAUUACAGAAUACUACGGGGCAUUUCCCAGAAUAAAAUAUAUACAAAUCCUUCGGUGCAUUCCCCAGAUGAAUUUAACUAAAGGAACGACCUCUCACCUUAAAACUAACAAAAAUCCUAAAGUUUGCCUACUCAGGUGAUGAUGGACCUAAGCAUACUACUGUCGACUCAAUAGAAUAUAAUAAUAACAAUUGAAAUCAUACGAAGCCCAAAUACCAUGAAGUUUAAUCCCCAACAAACCACAUGGCUCAAAUCCUUUUUUCAAUUUUCAGUACCUCAAACCCCAAUGCCCCUUUAACUCGUUAACUGUUCAACCACCUUAAUUGCUUAGUAAGUAAAUCCAUUCUUGACAUCAAAUAGAUUAAGCAGGGAAGACAAAUCAACCAUUAAUCUAGAACAAAAUAAGAUAACAGAGAGUUUCAUAAAUCAAAUUCACUAUCAAAAUAAAGCAAUUAAAAGAUUUCAAGUUAGAGAAGCGUGAAUGUACCUUUGAUGUCUAAUUCGACCAAGCAGGAGCCUUCAAUCGGAGACGGCAAACCGUGAAUGGACACCUUAAUCGGAAAACCUCACUGCCUCGAUCACGCCUCCAAUUUCGCCGGAAUACUCCACUUAUACAGUCCAUUCCCUUGUGUUAAAGCCACCGACUUUCAUCUCUAAAACAUGGGAACAGCUGCAACGAUGUACUCUUAAUUUUCUUUUGGAGUGUACUGGUCUUUCUAUGAAGAAAAAGUAUGGUCACAAGAACUUUUUGGUAACAAAUAAAAUUGCUAUUUGUGGCGAAUUGGAUAUAUGCCUAGGGUUCUUGGUUUUGUCUCUUUGUUGGAGGAAAAUCACAGUUUCAAGUUAAGGAAUGAAGAUUGAUUUUUGGGAAAGUUGUGUGCGCCAGCCGUAGUCUUAGGGGUAGGCGGCUCGUUGUUGAAGAUUGUUGCUGGACGUCCGGCGAGCUUGGUGGCAUGUGGCUGGAGGCUGAAGGGUGGUGUGGAAGGCUGGUUUUUAGACUGAAGGGGGAGGCGUCGGCGGGUUGGGGCUGCUGCGGCUCUGGCGGCAGGAGGUUCAAUCACUGGAGGUGACGACUCUUAGGCUAAGGGGCCAUUAGGGUUAGAUCUAGGUCUUUUUGGAUAGGGUGACGGCUGGGGGUCCUCUUGAUGGUGUUGAAAGAGGAGAGGAGUUGAGAGAUCUUUGAGGGAGGGGGUCGUUGGGUGACAGGAUGAGGUCAGCGGCUAGGUCGCUGGGUUUGGGUGGCAGAAUGGUAAAGGGGUAGGGGUGUGCGCCUGGUGGAGAGGUGAGGGGGUGGCCGGCGGCUAUGUGGGAUAGUCGGCGGCGGCUUCUUUUUGUGUUCUAAGGUUUGGGGGGUUGAAGAUGGAGAUGAAGUAUCUAGGGUGGGCGGCUGGUUUCUUUUCCCC
rnacentral:lncRNA from 1 species